GAUGAACGCUGGCGGCGUGCUUAACACAUGCAAGUCGAACGGAAAGGCCCAAGCUUGCUUGGGUACUCGAGUGGCGAACGGGUGAGUAACACGUGGGUGAUCUGCCCUGCACUUCGGGAUAAGCCUUGGAAACUGGGUCUAAUACCGGAUAGGACCACAUUUUGGAUGGUGUGGUGGAAAGUUUUUCGGUGUGGGAUGAGCUCGCGGCCUAUCAGCUUGUUGGUGGGGUAAUGGCCUACCAAGGCGUCGACGGGUAGCCGGCCUGAGAGGGUGUACGGCCACAUUGGGACUGAGAUACGGCCCAGACUCCUACGGGAGGCAGCAGUGGGGAAUAUUGCACAAUGGGCGCAAGCCUGAUGCAGCGACGCCGCGUGGGGGAUGACGGCCUUCGGGUUGUAAACUCCUUUCGCUAGGGACGAAGCGCAAGUGACGUUACCUGGAGAAGAAGCACCGGCUAACUACGUG
rnacentral:rRNA from 1 species